GGUUUGUAGCUUAGUGAUAGAGUGCUUGCCUAGCACAUGCAAGGCACUGGGUUCAAUACCCAGCACCA
rnacentral:tRNA from 1 species